rnacentral:rRNA from 1 species
AACGCGAAGAACCUUACCUGGGUUUGACAUCCUCUGACAAACGUAGAGAUACGUCUUCUGUAGCAAUACAGCAGAGAGACAGGUGCUGCAUGGCUGUCGUCAGCUCGUGUGGUGACAUGUUGGGUUAAGUCCCGCAACGAGCGCAACCCUUGUCUUUAGUUGCCAGCAUUCAGUUGGGCACUCUAAAGAGACUGCCGUGGUUAACACGGAGGAAGGUGGGGAUGACGUCAAGUCCUCAUGGCCUUUAUAUCCAGGGCGACACACGUGAUACAAUGGUUGGUACAGAGGGAAGCGAAGGAGCGAUCUGGAGCAAAUCUCAAAAAGCCAAUCUCAGUUCGGAUUGGAGUCUGCAACUCGACUCCAUGAAGUUGGAAUCGCUAGUAAUCGCGGAUCAGCACGCCGCGGUGAAUACGUUCCCGGGCCUUGUACACACCGAUAGC